GGACAAGUAUCUCACACUUUCCUGCCCCAGGUUGAUUUCAAACUAUAAUCCUCAGAUCUCAGCUUCCUGAGAAGUUAGGAUUACAGGCACAAACCACAGGUACCAAGCUAGUAUUUGGGUUUUUGAGCUUGGCUUUAUCUUGCUCAAUAUCAUGAUUUCCAGCUCCAUCUACUUUAAUACAAGUGAUAGUUUCAUUUUUCUCUAUGUCAAACUAAUAUUCCAUGGUAUCUAUAUGUUCCAUGUUUUAUGUAUCCAUUUAUCAGUGGUUAGGCACCAGAGUUGAUUCCACUAUUUGGGUAUACAGCCGAUAUAUUUCUUGUAUAUUGAUUUAGAUUCUCUCAGAUGAAUAAAUGCCCGAGUGUUGUAAUCACUAUCAAAAGGUAGAUCUACUUUUAGAUUUUUUUGAGGCACCAUCACACUGAUUUCCUGAGUGGUUGCAUUACUUUAUGUUCCCACCAAGGGUAUAUGUAGGAGAAUC